rnacentral:lncRNA from 1 species
UUCCUCUUUUGCACAGGCCGAUCAGGAACGAAAGUCGAGCGGCGGCAGCAGCCGCCACUCGGGCACAUCGUCACCGUAAAAGACACCCGCCAGGAGGCGCGUGUGGUCGUCCCAGGGGCAUCCAUUGUCUCGGAGCCACUUGAGCACAGGGUGGUCAGAGCACCGUAAGGCGGCGCUGCAGGCGCGCUCAUUCCACGGGCACCCAUUGUCGCGCGCCCACGCGAGCACGGCGACGUGGCCGUGCUUGGCGGCGACCUCGCAGAUACGAUCGUCCAAACGAAGGCCAGCCCGCCUCGCGCUGGCAAGUAGCCGCACAUGCCCUUCCUGAGCCGCUUGGAUGCAUGUGUCGUGAUCCCAGAGGAAUCCGUUGUUUUGUGCCCACUCGACUACAUGAUCGUGCCCGUUGCGGGCGGCGGCGGUGCACACAGAUCGGCUAUAGGCGUAUCGGAUGUUGUCGUGUAUCCACACGAGCACGUCCAGGUGACCGCUGGCCGCCGCGCGGCGCGGCGUGGUCCAAAGCAAGCGGCACCCGUUGGCGACAAGCCACUUGAGCGCGUCGAGGUGGCCGCUCGCCGCGGCCUCGUCGCACGCGCGCUCGUCCCAUUCACAUCCGUUUGUGCGUGCUCACUGGAGCACGGCGAGAUGGCCGUUGCGGGCUGCCAAGCGGCAGGUGUCGGCAUCCCACGUGCAACGACGCCGUCUAAGCCAUUUGAGGGUCGGCAGGUCUCCGCGGCCGGCAACUAUGGCGCACGCCCACCGGUCUUGCGGGCAGCCGGAAUCCAACGCCCACUCCAUCGUCUCUCUGUCGCCGCGCUUGGCCAAUGCAGUGAAUGUCUCUGAAUCCCACGGCAUCCGUCCUUGGCGAGAUCGACGAGCAGUCGCAUGUGGCCCCCUCUGGCCGCUUCAUAGCACGUCAUUGUAUCCCAGGGACAUCCACUGGCUCUGGCCCACUUUAGCACGCUCACGUAG